rnacentral:rRNA from 1 species
CGCUGGCGGCGUGCUUAACACAUGCAAGUCGAGCGAUGAAGCUUCUUCGGAAGUGGAUUAGCGGCGGACGGGUGAGUAACACGUGGGUAACCUGCCUCAUAGAGGGGAAUAGCCUUCCGAAAGGAAGAUUAAUACCGCAUAAGAUUGUAAUAUCGCAUGAUAUAGCAAUUAAAGGAGUAAUCCGCUAUGAGAUGGACCCGCGUCGCAUUAGCUAGUUGGUGAAGUAACGGCUCACCAAGGCGACGAUGCGUAGCCGACCUGAGAGGGUGAUCGGCCACAUUGGGACUGAGACACGGCCCAGACUCCUACGGGAGGCAGCAGCGGGGAAUAUUGCACAAUGGGGGAAACCCUGAUGCAGCAACGCCGCGUGAGUGAUGACGGUCUUCGGAUUGUAAAGCUCUGUCUUUAGGGACGAUAAUGACGGUACCUAAGGAGGAAGCCACGGCUAACUACGUGCCAGCCGCGGC